GUGAUCCGGUGGUUCUGAAUGGAAGGGCCAUCGCUCAACGGAUAAAAGGUACUCCGGGGAUAACAGGCUGAUACCGCCCAAGAGUUCAUAUCGACGGCGGUGUUUGGCACCUCGAUGUCGGCUCAUCACAUCCUGGGGCUGAAGUAGGUCCCAAGGGUAUGGCUGUUCGCCAUUUAAAGUGGUACGCGAGCUGGGUUUAGAACGUCGUGAGACAGUUCGGUCCCUAUCUGCCGUGGGCGCUGGAGAACUGAGGGGGGCUGCUCCUAGUACGAGAGGACCGGAGUGGACGCAUCACUGGUGUUCGGGUUGUCAUGCCAAUGGCACUGCCCGGUAGCUAAAUGCGGAAGAGAUAAGUGCUGAAAGCAUCUAAGCACGAAACUUGCCCCGAGAUGAGUUCUCCCUGAGACUACAAGUCUCCUGAAGGAACGUUGAAGACGACGACGUUGAUAGGCCGGGUGUGUAAGCGCAGCGAUGCGUUGAGCUAACCGGUACUAAUGAACCGUGAGGCUUAACCUUACAACGCCGAAG
rnacentral:rRNA from 1 species